rnacentral:rRNA from 1 species
UACGUAGGGGGCUAGCGUUGUCCGGAAUCAUUGGGCGUAAAGAGCGUGUAGGCGGUCCGGUAAGUCCGCUGUGAAAGUCGGGGGCUCAACCCUCGAAUGCCGGUGGAUACUGUCGGGCUAGAGUGCGGAAGAGGCGAGUGGAAUUCCUGGUGUAGCGGUGAAAUGCGCAGAUAUCAGGAGGAACACCUAUUGCGAAGGCAGCUCGCUGGGAUGUAACUGACGCUGAGACGCGAAAGCGUGGGGAGCAAACAGG